rnacentral:rRNA from 1 species
GUAGGGAAUAUUGCGCAAUGGACGAAAGUCUGACGCAGCGACGCCGCGCGAGUGAUGAAGGCCUUAGGGUCGUAAAGCUCUGUUGAAUGGGAAGAAAAAAAUGACGGUACCAUUCGAGGAAGGACCGGCUAACUUCGUGCCAGCAGCCGCGGUAAUACGAGGGGUCCUAGCGUUGUUCGGAAUCAUUGGGCGUAAAGGGUGUGUAGGUGGCCAUGUAAGUCAGGUGUGAAAGCCCCGGGCUCAACCCGGGAAGUGCACUUGAUACUGCGUGGCUUGAGUACCGAAGAGGGUAGUGGAAUUCCAGGUGUAGUGGUGAAAUACGUAGAUAUCUGGAGGAACACCGGUGGCGAAGGCGGCUACCUGGUCGAGUACUGACACUGAGACACGAAAGCAUGGGGAUCAAACAGGAUUAGAAACCCGUGUAGUCC